rnacentral:tRNA from 1 species
GGGCCCGUAGCUUAGCCUGGUCAGAGCGCUCGGCUGAUAACCGGGAGGUCCUGGGUUCGAAUCCCAGCGGGCCCACCA